rnacentral:rRNA from 1 species
AUUGAACGCUAGCGGGACGCUUUACACAUGCAAGUCGAACGAGUGGCGGACGGGUGAGUAGUAUAUCGGAACGUGCCCAGUAGUGGGGGUUAACUACUCGAAAGAGUGGCUCAUCACGCCUAUCAUUGGAGCGGCCCAUAUCGGAUUAGCUAGUUGGUGGGGUAAAGGCUCCCCAAGGCAACGAUCCGUAGCUGGUAUGAGAGGACGACCAGUCACACUGGGAAUGAGACACGGCCCAGACUCCUACGGGAGGCAGCAGUGGGGAAUUUUGGACAAUGGGGGAAACCCUGAUCCAGCCAUCCCGCGUGUAUGAGAAGGCCUUCGGGUUGUAAAGUACUUUUGGCAGAGAAGCGGUAUCUGCAGAAUAAGCACCGGCUAACUACGUGCCAGCAGCCGCGGUAAUUC